ACACCUCCAUUGUAGCCAUAAAGCUAAAACCAAGCACCAUUUGCUUAAAGUGCAAUGUUUAAGGGCACCUGGAGAAACUUUUAGACCUUUCUCAAUUCAUCAUGGUAAAUCUUCUACCAAUGCUUGGUUCCCACUUCACCAGUUCCCUGCAUAAAAUGUUUCUGAUGUAUUAAUUCAUUGCAAUGGAACUUGGUUUAGAAAUACAGUAGGAUUGUAUCACAACCAAGUUCAGAUUCAAGCUGAAAGUAGCCCAUAAUGUUAGCACUGGACUUUGCAAGCUGAGCACUAACAAGAAAUCCUACAGAUCUGAUAAAAAGGGUUUCAAGCUACCAGGUUUUCUGAUAAUUAAUAGUCUUGUUGUUAUAUGGAAGCCAGCAGACCAGUUGGGGAGAUGCUAUUUUUUAGACUUUCUGGGCUUGCCUCUUAAAAA